AAAAAUAGACGUUUCUGAAUCCUUCAAGCUGGGAGCUGCAUGCCACCACCCGGCUCCGGGAGCUGAGACCGAGGGGAGCUGCUGGAGGGUGAGGCCCACAACAGCAGCCAGCCAGGUGGGGGGCAGCCCCAGCGCCCCGUGCACAAACCCAGCAGUACUGCGUUCGUGCAGAGCUCGGGCUGAGCCUGGGAACAAAGUUCUUACACGCUAACAGCGACCGAGGGAAAUAACAACAUCCAAUCUGUGUUCGGAGUGCGCUCCCCGGGCUAAAGGGCACUCCGUUCAUUACUGCGUUACGAUUCCUGUUGCUGCUGGGUGUUGAUCAUUUGUGCUUGGAAGUGUCGUUCAUUUGUAAGGGCAUCUGAAGGCUGGGGAGUUUUGUUGGGUGAUUUCUAGUCCUACUUACACCUCAAGGGGCUGAGGUGCCGCCAUUGAGGUUAACGGUGCGGAAGAAUACAAAAAAAUUUCAUUGAGGAGGAUUAUAAAAGUUACUAGCUGGAACAUUAACAGAAGAGUAACUUGUAAAAAAUGCAAUAUUACAAUAUUCACAAGGACGGUAGAGCGUGGUAAAGCUAUAAAAUUCAACAUUAAAAUCUUCUACAGCCUAGAUAACCUAGUUAACAAACAUGGCAUCGGAACUACUUUCUUUCCCGGGGCCGGGGGCGGCGGACCCCCCCACGGGCCGAGGACGAGGCGAGGGACACGCGGCCCCCGCUCGGGAGCCGACGAACUUUUUGUCAUUAGCAAAGUGCGGGCAGCGAUUUGCCUCGUCCGAAAGCGGGAGCGGGGAGCGCCGGCUCGUUCCGUUUGUCACCGGCACCAAACGCCCGCAUAAAUAACAGCCGGUAUUUAUCGCCGCUCCGACCGAAUUCCGCCAGGCAAAGCGCUGGGAGCGCUUUCAAAAAAAAAAAAGCCCAAAAACCAAAAACACGGAGGGGAACCGGACAUCGUUAUCACUUUUAUCACCGGUGCUACUAAUGAUGUUCUCCUGCAAACACGUCGGCCUCAGAGAGAAAUAGACGCCGCGCCUCCAAACCGGGCGCGGAUUGCGGGCCGCUGCGGAGCGCCGUACGGCAGCAAAACUUCGUCCUCCUGCGGGAGGGCAGCGCGCCCCGCUCCGUACCGCCGCCUCAACGCCGCCGCAUCCUCCGGGCUCCGCGCUCCGUGUCGGGGCUGUCGAGCGUCGGGAAGCAGAGAGUGUGAAAGGGCCGGGAGAGAGGAGCGGGAGGGAAUCGCUCUGAGCGGCUGCGGUUCCCCGGGGAGUUGGCAGACAGUUUGUGGAGAUGUUACUCCGGAGUUUCAGACUAUGAUAAAUAUGAUAAUUUGUAUAAAAUUUGAAUGGGUUCUUGUUUUCAGGGAGAAUGCCUCCGAUGAUGAAUGUUCGUGAUUUUCAGAUAGAUGGCUGAUAAAAAGUGUAUUGAAUUGUUGAAAGCGAUUUUAAUUUUAAUUCUCUACCUGCAGAUGUCUGAUAAUAAUAAUGUCUCCUAAUAAAAUAGGAAGGUGUCAGUUUAAGCAGCAGUAUUUCGCUUCACUUCAUCCUUCCCAUCCCCAGACUGUGGCAACAUUAACCUCUUCUUAUAAAAAGGCACAUAAAAUUAUUAUAAUUACAGAGUUAUUAAUUUUAAAAAGAGGGUUAGCAGGAUUUUUUAUUAUUAUUAAUAGAGCUCGCACAGUACCCCCGCAAGUAAAUCCCCGUGUGAAAUGAUGGAUCCGAUCGCUAAUUCUAUUAUUAGAUAUUGCCUAGGAAUUGCCUUUCGGGUUUUUAAUUAGAGUAAUUGAAACUAGAUAGAGGCGGGGCUAAUUAUUUUUAUUUUCCCCCUUUGUUAUUAUUUAAAAGUCAUCGAUAACGCUCCCCGCAUUCACAUCUCGGCUUCGGAAGGAGACCCGCAACAAAGCAACAAAGGGAGCGCGGCCGGCACUCCGCAGCCGGC
ensembl:lncRNA